rnacentral:lncRNA from 1 species
ACCACGCAAUAAAUAUUUACAAAAUAAAAGCAAGAAAAAUAAAUUCCUAAACUACUACAUGGCUAUGAGACAGAUACAUAAUAAUCAGGCGAGAAAGAAUAAAUUUACAACCUAUACAUUUGUUUCUAAUAUUAUAAAUAAAACAAAAUUAAAAUAAGGAAAAUAAUGAAGCAAAAAUAGAAUAGAUAAAAGCAAAUAAUAAUAA